rnacentral:lncRNA from 1 species
CACUGCACCGCUUUGCAGCCACUGAGCUGCAGGCGCUGCAGCCGCCACGGCCCCGAGGGCGUGCACGGCACUGCUGCAAUGCCGGGCACCCCCCGAGGUGCACCCUUGCAAUGCUGGGCACCCCCCCUAGAUGCACCCUUGCAAGGCCGAGCACCCUUUGCAAGUAGGUGGAAUUCCAUUCGUGCACCCUUGCAACGCCGUGCACCCCUUGCAAUGCUGUGCACCCCCAUGGGUGCACCCUUGCAAUGCGGUGCACCCUUGCAAUGCCACGCAACCCCCCACGGGUGCACCCUUGCAAUGUCGGGCAUGCUUUGCAACGCCCCCAUCUCCACUCGUGCACCCUUGCAGUGCCGUGCACCCCCAUAGAUGCACCCUUGCAACACCGUGCACCCCCCUGGGUGCACCCUUGCAAUACCAUGCCCCCCCCACGCGUGCACCCUUGCAACACCGUGCACCCUUGCAAUGCCGUGCACGCCUGCAGCGCCGUGCACCCCCCACAGGAGCACCGUUGCAACGCAGGACGCACCCGUAGGCGCCCCCCCGCCCCGUUCUCCC